GUAUACAGGUGUCUGGAAAAUAUAAAGAGAUGUUUAUUAGAGAACUCUUUUAAACUAGUAAUAUCCCAUUUAAUUGAUCUCCAUACCUUGAUGUUUUGUACCCAGUAAUUCCACUUUUACAUUCACAACUGUUGCAGAGAACUGCAAAGCCACACAACUAAAGGAGCUAAAGCAGGAGGGCACGUGAGGAUUUGAGCUGCUUUGAGCACCUUUAACAGAGUGCAGGUUAUUCACGUAAAAACACUGACUUUUCCUCUUAAUACUUAGGUUAUAAAACAAAAUUAAUUGCUUACAAAAUGUGGGGCCCCAGAAAAGGAAGUUCAAGCAAGUCAUAUAGUAAACGUCUUGCAAAGAAGCUUUCAGAUUUGCAAAGUCAACUGGCAGUUUCCAAAGCAGUGUCGCCAAUGUCAGCCGGAAUGGUGAGAUCUAUAUACAGAAAGCUAUUCUGUGCUGGCCCUUCUCAGAAAUGCAGAAGUUUGGAGUUUGGAGGAGGAAGGUUCUUUUCCACUGUGUGUAAUAUGCCAAAUUUUAUUUGGUAGGAGUUUUCAUAAAAUCUUUAAACAACCAUUAUGCAUGUUGUUGAAUGAUUGUUUCCAAGGAUAUUGGUGAUGCCUUUUCACUGUAAGUCUUCAUAGUAAAACUGAUAAUUUAUUUACACUUCAGAAAGGGUAAGCUACAAAAACUAAUGUCCUAUUUUUAUUGUUGUGUCUCCAGUCUAGCAAGCUCUUCGAAGAAAAGUACCAUUGAGGCAAUGUUUACUAUUUAAUACAUACCUGACAGGGUAGAAAGUGUGAAAUGUUUCCAGAGGAGAACUGAUGUGACAUCUGCAAACACAUUUUAUGAGCAUGCUUAUGAUUUUUGCCACACAACACAAAUUUCCCUUUUCCCAUCAUGGGGAACAUAUACAUAUCUAACAAGGAAUUUCUAUGUAUGAUUCCUAAGUUACUAUAGUUACUAAAAGAUUUCCUUUAUGGCUGCUUGAAGAAGCAUGCAACUUUUCUUGGGAAAAAAAAAAAUUAAAAAAUGAGGUUUUAUUCUCACAUUCUACUGAUGGUUGCCUAACUUUAUCAAAUUGUUUCAAUAAUAAUAAGAGCCUGUCACAAUGUUAUCUCUAGAACUAUUUGUGUCUGUGACAGGGAGACAGCAGGUCCACAGGCCCAUUAGCCCAAAAAAAGGGGAUGGGAGGAGGAAAGGGAAAGGCAAUAAAAGAGGGAAGGGGAAAACA
rnacentral:lncRNA from 1 species